AUUCUACUCCCUCCGUUGCACAAUACAUGCCUUCUAUUUGUCAAAAUAUAUAUGUAUCUAGAUAUGUUUUAGUAUAUAGGUACAUCCAUUUUUGGACAAAUGGAAGUCAAGUAUUUUGGAACGGAGGGAGUACACA
rnacentral:pre_miRNA from 1 species